rnacentral:rRNA from 1 species
CACGUAGGGCGCAAGCGUUGUCCGGAAUUAUUGGGCGUAAAGAGCUCGUAGGCGGUCUGUUGCGUCCGCUGUGAAAACUCGAGGCUCAACCUCGAGACGUCGGUUGAAACCAUCUGGCUAGAGUCCGGAAGAGGAGUGUGGAAUUCCCGGUGUAGCGGUGAAAUGCGCAGAUAUCAGGAGGAACACCGGUGGCGAAGGCGGGUCUCUGGGCCGAUACUGACGCUGAGGAGCGAAAGCGUGGGGAGCGAACAGG